rnacentral:tRNA from 1 species
GCACUCUUAGCUCAGUCGGACAAGAGCGGCAGCCUUCUAAGCUGCGGGCCGCAGGUUCAAGUCCUGCAGAGUGCA